rnacentral:rRNA from 1 species
AGCGAACGCUGGCGGCAGGCCUAAUACAUGCAAGUCGAACGGUCUCUUCGGAGGCAGUGGCGGACGGGUGAGUAACGCGUGGGAAUAUGCCCUUUGGUACGGAACAACUGAGGGAACUUCAGCUAAUACCGUAUGUGCCCUUCGGGGGAAAGAUUUAUCGCCAUUGGAGUAGCCCGCGUCGGAUUAGCUAGUUGGUGAGGUAAAGGCUCACCAAGGCGACGAUCCGUAGCUGGUCUGAGAGGAUGAUCAGCCACACUGGGACUGAGACACGGCCCAGACUCCUACGGGAGGCAGCAGUGGGGAAUAUUGGACAAUGGGCGAAAGCCUGAUCCAGCCAUGCCGCGUGAGUGAUGAAGGCCUUAGGGUUGUAAAGCUCUUUCACCCACGACGAUGAUGACGGUAGUGGGAGAAGAAGCCCCGGCUAACUUCGUGCCAGCAGCCGCGGUAAU